rnacentral:rRNA from 1 species
GACGAACGCUGGCGGCGUGCUUAAUACAUGCAAGUCGAACGGAAAGGCCCUGCUUUUGUGGGGUGCUCGAGUGGCGAACGGGUGAGUAACACGUGAGUAACCUGCCCUUGACUUUGGGGUAACUUCAGGAAACUGGGGCUAAUACCGGAUAGGAGCUCCUGCUGCAUGGUGGGGGUUGGAAAGUUUCGGCGGUUGGGGAUGGACUCGCGGCUUAUCAGCUUGUUGGUGGGGUAGUGGCUUACCAAGGCUUUGACGGGUAGCCGGCCUGAGAGGGUGACCGGCCACAUUGGGACUGAGAUACGGCCCAGACUCCUACGGGAGGCAGCAGUGGGGAAUAUUGCACAAUGGGCGGAAGCCUGAUGCAGCAACGCCGCGUGCGGGAUGACGGCCUUCGGGUUGUAAACCGCUUUCGCCUGUGACGAAGCGUGAGUGACGGUAAUGGGUAAAGAAGCACCGGCUAACUACGUG